rnacentral:rRNA from 1 species
CCUACGGGAGGCAGCAGUGAGGAAUAUUGGUCAAUGGACGCGAGUCUGAACCAGCCAUGCCGCGUGCGGGAGGACGGCUCUAUGAGUUGUAAACUGCUUUUGUACGAGGAUAAACACUGAUACGCGUCUCCGUCUGCGCGUAUCUUACGAAUAAGGAUCGGCUAACUCCGUGCCAGCAGCCGCGGUAAUACGGAGGAUGCAAGCGUUAUCCGGAUUUAUUGGGUUUAAAGGGUGCGUAGGCGGUCGGUUAAGUGAGAGGUGAAAUCCCGAGGCUCAACUCCGGACUGGCCGUUGAUACUGGUAGGCUAGAGAGGAGUAGAGGUAGGCGGAAUGCACGGUGUAGCGGUGAAAUGCUUAGAGAUCAUACAGAACACCGAUUGCGAAGGCAGCUUACCAGGCCAAGUCUGACGUUGAGGCACGAAAGCGUGGGGAGCAAACAGGAUUAGAUACCCGUGUAGUC